rnacentral:lncRNA from 1 species
AAUAAUUUUAUUCACUAUUUAGUUGAUGUUCUCAUAGUUAGUGAGAUAUAGCUACCGAAAAAGGGCAAAAAUAGAGUUGGAGAGAGAGCCUUGGAUGGUUAAAAUUAUUCACCCUUCUCCUGAAAUAUCCUUAAUCUAGCUAAAUACCUUUUCCACUUAUUAACCAAAUAAAUUAAUUCACUAUUUUUUGAGUGAUGUUUGAUUGAAUAGUAAUUUUAUCCACCCUUUAAUGAACUUCCAAAUGCAUGCCUGAACUUCAACAUCCAAAACUUUCGCUUGGCCCGGCCUUGGAAAGAUCGUGGUCAUCUUAGGGAUACAAAGGAGUACUUUGGGAGGGCAAAUCUAUUGCUCCAGGCCAACUUAGGGAUAUUUUACUGUCUGACUCCUUUUUGGGUUAUCAUGAUUCAUCCGGUUCACCAAAAGGAAAAAAUAAAAAAAAUUGCAACUGUUGGUAUUUCCGAGAGUAAGCUGAGGGACACGGGUGCGAGGGACUACCAAUUCCCUGAGACAGCAUAGCACUUUCAUGCCUAUCGAUUUAAUAAACUUGAACCGGGUCUGGGUUGACCCAGAAACACAGCUACAGGAAUUUUGCUCCUCCAUCCCUUUCCAAAGCUCUCUCCACCGGCAUCUCUCGCUGCCUCCAAACCGCCGCCAAAUCUCUCCUGGAAGAGCAAAACGCUGCGACCGCCGCCGUCCCCCCCUCAUUCCUCCGCCCCCGCCCAC